AACGAACGCUGGCGGCGUGCUUAAGACAUGCAAGUCGUGCGAGAAAGUCACCUUCGGGUGACGAGUACAGCGGCGCACGGGUGAGUAACGCGUGGGUAAUCUGCCUUCGGGUUCGGGACAACUCCGGGAAACUGGAGCUAAUACCGGCUAAGACCACAUCGUCCCCGGGCGAAGUGGAAAAAGGUGGCCUCUUCUUGAAAGCUACCGCCCGAUGAUGAGCCCGCGUCCCAUUAGCUUGUUGGUGAGGUAACGGCUCACCAAGGCGACGAUGGGUAGCUGGUCUGAGAGGAUGAUCAGCCACACUGGAACUGAGACACGGUCCAGACUCCUACGGGAGGCAGCAGUCGGGAAUUUUGGGCAAUGGGGGAAACCCUGACCCAGCAACGCCGCGUGAGGGAUGAAGGCCCUCGGGUCGUAAACCUCUGUCAGGAGGGAAGAAAGGUGGCCGUUCGAAUAGGGCGGUCAUUUGACGGUACCUCCAAAGGAAGCACCGGCUAACUCCGUGCCAGCCGCCGCCGUAAAAC
rnacentral:rRNA from 1 species